GCUUGGUGGUUCAGUGGUAGAAUCCUCGCCUGCCACGCAGGAGACCCGGGUCUGGUUCCCGGCAAAUGCC